AGCUCUACCUAUUACUGAUACCCUUCUCAACUGUUUUGUCUUUGGUUCCAGCAUCAGAGGGAUUGAAGUUCUUCCCAACCUCACUGUAUUAAACCUCAGUUAUAAUGCACUCCGAGACCUGAGAAGUUUAGAAAACUGCAUCCACCUGUCUGUGCUGAAUAUGUCUCACAAUCAAGUGAGAGCCCUGGGGGACAUGCCACUCCUGAGCAAACUGACGCGGCUUCACUUGGGUUCCAACAAGCUGAGGUCUCUGGAAGGCAUUCAGAAUUUGCCCCAGCUCUGUGAACUCUAUGUCCAGAAGAACCGGAUUUCCAGCUUGCUGCCUCUCUCUUCCUCGCUGGCUCUCAACGUAUUGGAUGCUGCCAGCAAUGACAUCGGCUCCCUGCCGCAGGCCCUGCAUGUGCUUGGAGGACUCCGCAGGCUGAGACAUCUCAAACUCCAGGGACCUGCGGGAAGAGCUGAGAGAAUACGAAGAAACCUUCAGAACAGAAGUGGAUGGCUGCAUAAGGUGAUUAACGCUGCGGUUCAGCUGCUUUCGAACCCACCACUCCAUCCACCUCCUGACGAUGCCAACAUCUGAUGCCAUUUCUGAUACCUGAACUAUCAAGACGAGUGUUAGGCAGAAAUUGAUGAGAUCCCAUUCCUCCCUGGUCUAGCUGAGUGGCUUUGCUGCAAGGAUUCCAUGACAGAGGCGUGGGAGGCCAUUCGGGCGCCCUGUUCACCUCGCGUGGUUGGGUCUCUCUGGAGUUCCGCACAGCCUUCUUCAGUCCCGACUAACCUAAGUCAUUUUGCAUCAGCUGCAGACUUUAUCACCUCAUUGCUCAGCCCCCCUUCCAGAUAUUCAUAGAUAUGAAGACCAGAAGGGACCAUUAUGAUCAUCUGGUCUGCCGUCCUGCAUAACACGGGCUUGGAUCCUCACCCAAUAGUUUCUGCAGCAAGACCACAUCACUUCCGCUUGAGCUGCGGCAUAUAUCUUACCAAGACAUCCCGUCUUGAUUUAAAGACUUGACAUGAUGGAGAAUCCACCACAGCCCUUUGUAAGUCGUACCAGUGGUUGCCCUCGCUGUUAAAAACUUGCGCCUUAUUUCUAGUGGUAAAGGAGCUGCAGAGUGUGCCAUCAUUAACCUUUUGCUAUGCUGCGCAUGGAUCACUUCUUCCUGCUCUUUGUUCUCUGCCUUUUGCCCACUUUCAUAGAAUCAUUCUAAUCCCUGACUGUGCAUUUGCCCCUCUCUCUCCAUGACUACAGAGGGCUUGUCUGGGAAAUUGACUAGCAUAGGUAUAGCAGAAUAAGGGCUUGUCUGCACUACCGCGCGGGGUCGAUCUAAGAUACGCAACUUCAGCUACGUGAAUAGCGUCGCUGAAGUCGACAUAUUUAGAUCUACUUACCGCGGUGUCUUCACUGAGGUAAGUCGACAGCUGACGCUCUCCCGCGACUCUGCUUUCGCCUCUCGCCCUGGUGGAGUACCGGAGUCGACGGGAGAGCGUUCGGCGGUCGAUUUAUCGCGUCUAGACUAGAGACGCGAUACAUCGACCCCCGCUGGAUCGAUCACUGCCCGCCGAUUCGGCGGGUAGUGUAGACA
ensembl:lncRNA